AGCAGCCGCGGUAUUCCAGCUCCAAUAGCGUAUAUUAAAGUUGCUGCAGUUAAAAAGCUCGUAGUUGAAUUUCGGGAUCAUCAUGUCGGUCGUGCCUCGGUACGUACUGGCAUCGUUGAUUUCUCCCUUCUGACGAACCAUGAUGUCAUUUAUUUGGUGUUGUGGGGAAUCAGGACUGUUACUUUGAAAAAAUUAGAGUGUUUAAAGCAGGCUCACGCUUGAAUACAUUAGCAUGGAAUAAUGAAAUAGGACGUUUGAUUCUAUUUUGUUGGUUUCUAGGAUCGACGUAAUGAUUAAUAGGGAUAGUUGGGGGCAUUAGUAUUCAAUUGUCAGAGGUGAAAUUCUUGGAUUUAUUGAAGACUAACUACUGCGAAAGCAUUUGCCAAGGAUGUUUUCAUUAAUCAAGAACGAAAGUUAGGGGAUCGAAGACGAUCAGAUACCGUCGUAGUCUUAACCAUAAACUAUGCCGACUAGGGAUCGGAUGAUGUUAUUUUUAAAUGACUCA
rnacentral:rRNA from 1 species